UCUAAUCCUUCUAGUGUAAUUCACUCCCUCUUUAACACAAUAUUUCAGCUAAAUGAAUAUCUAUGGAAUAUUAUUGAUUGUCUUGAAUUUAGCAAAAGGAGGAGGAUUUAAUUUGGUUUCAUGCUAUUUAGUAGGACAAUCAGACAUGAAACAGCAAACCUGUGACGUAAAAGAGCAAAGGUAGUCCUGAAUGAUUUUCAGAUUGGUAAUUAGCCUAUCUUUAU
rnacentral:misc_RNA from 1 species